rnacentral:rRNA from 1 species
UACGGGGGUGCGAGCGUUGUCCGGAAUCACUGGGCGUAAAGGGCGCGUAGGGUGGCUUGGUAAGCGCGUGGUGAAAGCCCGGGGCUCAACCCCGGGUCUGCCAUGUGAACUACUAUGGCUUGAGCACUGUAGAGGCAGGUAGAAUUCCGGGGUGUAGCGGUGGAAUGCGUAGAGAUCCGGAAGAAUACCGGUGGCGAAGGCGGCCUGCUGGGCAGUGGCUGCAUGAG